UGUCCAUGAGAGACAAAAGUGCUUAUAAAGUUAAGCAUAUUUUCCCUUUUGUUUUUGUUUUUUUUGCCUCCCUCCCAGGCCCGCCAACUUGUUGUUGGACAGAAGCAGCUCGGAGGUUCCCCCGAUGGGAACGAUGGGCGACUGGAUGGACGGGAUGAGGACCUUGCCCUGCAACGAGGCCUUCUCCGGGGUCAGCUACAGCUCCUGUGACACGCUGGCCAAGACUUCCACAGAUAGAGUGAUUCUGACAGAGGUCCACGUCACUCCAGCAACUUGCCCGGAGUGGGAGCCGUCCAUGGGGAUCACCACUCUCUAGCCGCCGCUCGCUCUUCUUUCCAUUCCUCGGACUCUGGAUGGGAUUUGAAGAAGGUCGGAGUGACAAUCGCGGGACCACAGAAGAAGAUCGUGAGCAGCCUCAAAGCCCUGGAAUCGCACGCCAAGAACGGCCCGGUACCUGUUUAAAAUGAACGACCAAACGGCGGGAGAGCGCUUCUACGCCGACCGCGUAUCCAUCGUCACGGCGGCUGAGGAGAAAUUAAUCAAACGAGGGCUUUUUUUUUUUUUUUUACGGGACGAGACAAAGUCCUGGCAGUGAGAAGGGAGAAAGGUCCGACUGAUCCAUGCUGGAGUUGAGAUGCCUUACAGACACAUGCAGGAGCCCAGGACUAGGUUGCUGGACGCCAUCGGGGGACGCUCGCCGGUCCCGGCACGGACAGCCGCCCCCAGCGUGGACCCCUACUGGAGUCUUUGUCUGCACAUGAACUCAAUUUUGUCCCGUAGAGCCGUCACAUGAAAGCAAUAAACCUGGUGGUGGUGGUAGCCACGGUGCAGGUACAGGGCGCAAUAACACCUUUCACACUCGACUUUAUACCACGUAUAUGUGCCCUUCCAUGUGGUGUUUGUGUCAGCCCGGAGACCUUUUGUGGGGAACAACGAUCCCAUCGAUAUUUUCUCCGACAAGCGGAAACGUGAGGUGAAGAAAGCAGAGGACCGGAAACUCUUAAAGGGGUCUUAUUAUAAUUGUUUUUCUACAAAAAACAACACCAGUGAAGUCGGCACGCUGUGUAAAGGGUGAAUAAAAAGAGAACACAACGAAUCCUUUUCAACUUAUAUUCAAUUAAAUAGACUGCAAAGACAAGAUAUUUCAUGUUUACUCUAGAAAACGUAAUUAUGUUCACACUGAGACACUUAUUGUAUUAUCAUUAUCUUAGAAUUUAAUGGCAGCAACACAUUGCAAAAAAGACAUUUUUACCACUGUGUUACAUGGCCUUUCCUUUUAACAACACUCAGUAAAGGUUUGGGAACUGAGGAGACACAUUUUGGAAGUGGAAUUCUUUCCCAUUCUUGCUUGAUGUACACACCAGUCUAAUACCCACACUCUUACUAUGAAGCCACGCUGUUGUAACACGUGGCUUGGCAUUGUCUUGCUGAAAUAAGCAGGGGCGUCCAUGAUAACGUUGCUUGGAUGGCAACAUAUGUUGCUCCAAAAGCUGUAUGUACCUUUCAGCAUUAAUGGCGCCUUCACAGAUGUGUAAGUUACCCAUGUCUUGGGCACUAAUACACCCCCAUACCAUCACACAUGCUGCCUUUUCCACUUUGCGCCUAGAACAGUCCAGAGGAUUCUUUUCCUUUUCGGUCCGGAGGACACGACGUCCACAGUCUCCAAAAACAAUUUGAAAUGUGGACUCGUCAGACCACAGAACACUUUUCCACUUUGCAUCAGUCCGUCUUAGAUGAGCUCGGGCCCAGCGAAGCCGGCGGCGUGUCUGGGUGUUGUUGAUAAAUGGGAUUUUCAAAUAAUUGUAUUCUAUUUUUAUUUACCCUUUACACAACAUGCCAACUUCACUGAUUUUGGGUUCUGUACAUGUAAAACCCUUCUUUGAGGUAUGUAUCAGGGGUUAUUUACCUUUUUGACACCGGGGCCCAAUUUUCCCACUACAAAUAUUAACGCUGAAUUAGUAAUUUUGCUCUUGAUUUGAAUCAGAUUCGAUAAUUAAAUCUAACGUACGUACAGUUUAACAGAACAAAGCUUGUCGCAUGAUAUACAAGCGUGUGCUAAUCACAAAUAUUUGUAAGACUUAGGUCAGGCUGAUUACAAAAUACUGUAAAGAAUAAUCCAAUAUGCUGCAAAAGAAGAGAAAACUGAUGAAAAAUGAAAGUAUAUACAAUUAAUUUCUGCUAAAAUACAUGCAUUCAAACUAAAUUAAUACGUAAUAAUGUGUCUGUUUUUUAAAGCCCCAAUUAAGUACUUUUAGUUUUGGUGGAGUUUUGCCUGAAGGAAGACCGCGUUGAGGACCAGUGCAUAGCGUGCUAAAUGGUCCGAAACUACAGUCAUGUACAUACAAACUGACACGACAACCACAAUGAUCCAGUAAGACUGAUCUUUCCAUAUUUUACCCCAACUUUAUGUUUGCGGUUUGCAGUCAUCGCAUUUUCUUUCUUUAUGAAGUAUUUUUUCAGUUUGUUGCCCGGCUGCUCGUAUCAAACUGGUGGAUAUUUAUUACUACCACGCACAUUUCCGAUAGCUAACAUUAGCGUUAUGAAAUGAACCAAAUAUGAGUGAUAUUGUUAUUACAAGCGCUAACGCAGGCGGACUAUUUAUUGUUGACACACUGCUGCUUCUGCUUGGUCUCAAACCUGCUAAAAGUAAAGGGAUUAUAAUUCCUGCAUCUUUACAUGCUAGUAGAAACAAACGUGGCCAUGGACCGACAGGCCGGUCCACUUUCACGCCCCCCGUGAUCGUGAAAAAGACAAACAAAGAUGCUAGUUGCAGCAAAUGUUUUAUUAACCCUUCGUGAGGAUUGCGAUUGAAUCUUCAUCUAAACGGAAUUAUGUGAGCGUCCCGUCGGUCGGCAUCCCAGCAAGAGUGAAAAUAUUACAGUUACUUUUUGGUUAGUUUUCAUGUUUAGCAUCUAUCAACACUGCUAAUGCUAUAGUGUCGCAAUAUAGCUACAUCCGUUUAGCACUCGGCUUCUAAAACGUAUUGCUCGUCCUCUUUGUAUUCGGGCUCAAAAAUAUCUGGAUGAUAAUUUUCCCCAAAGUAAUCGUUGUUGGCUCUCACAGAGUCUGCUUGAUUAGCAUUGUUGUCGAUGGGGAAGGGAUCUGUGGUUCCUCCUCUACGUCUCGCGAUCCUCAUUAACCCUCAAAAUGGCUCGGGAAUCUCCGUGAGAUUGAUACUAUUUUGAUCAUAUCUAUUUAUCGGGAAACUUUCGAAGUCAUAAAUCCGACAAAUACGGUAAUACUUCAACAUUGAGACAACUUGUUUUUCCACUCUACUGCCACUUUAAAUUCCAAACAGCUCAUUUAAAGCACGUUUGGGAGAAACUUGCUUGUCUUGCUUUCACGGUUUGAUUUCUAAUUUUGGGGACUUAUGCAGAUCCCAAAUGAGGUACCCACAAGGACAUAAUAGGACCCCUUUAAGAGAAACGCUGGAAAAGAGAAACCGUGUUUGUCACACCUUUCCUUCAGACAUUUUAUUUCCCAAUGGAUGUUUUUGUUGUUGUUGUUUUCCCGCAGGUGUGUUUGUACUUUUUUUUUCCAAUUCAGCAUCCACGCACACAAGUCCUAGUCAGUAGGCCGGGACCUCCUCUAUAGGCCGAAAUCAGACAUUACAAACAUAAGCCACGGGUAUACAGUACAGGCCAAAAGUUUGGACACACCUUCUCCUCAUUCAAUGCGUUUUCUUUAUUUCCAUGACUAUUUACAUUGUAGAUUGUCACAUCAAAACUACGAAUGAACACACGUGGAGUUUUGUACUUAAAAAAAUAUAGUUGAAAUAACUAAAAACAUGUUUUAUAUUCUAGUUUCUUCAAAAUAGCCACCUUUUGCUCUGAUCACUGCUUGUUACUGUAAAGGAGUGUGUUUGUAUGCCGGACAUCAAACUUCUGGCUGUUUUAAUUCGACCAUAUUAUUUGCCAAGAGAGUUUACGUCUGUAAUCUUCAUCGAAGUGUACAUCCCUCCUUCUGCAGACGAGGCUGCUGCUUGCUAGGCAACAGACCAAACACCCCGAUGCCGUCGUUCUCACUUCGGGUGACUCUAAUCAUGCGUCUUUGGACUCAGUUUUACUUUAAAAUGAACAAUUUCCCUUAUGGAUCAUUAAAGUUGGUGUAAGUCUAACUGAAAUCAUGCUAUAUAUUCUAUUGUUUUCAAAAUAGCCACCCUUUGCGCCGACUACUUUUCCGCACGCUCUUGGCAUUCUCUCCAUGAGCUUCAAGAUGGAGUCACCAGGAAAUUGUUUUCACUUCCCAUGUGUGCUUGAAGCUUAUCGAGAGAAUGCCAGGAGUGUGCAAAGCAGUAGUCGGAACUAAAGGGUGGCUAUUUUGAAGAAACUAGUGUAUACAACUUGUUUUCAGUUAUUUCACCUUUGUCUGUUAAGUGAUCGUGAAAAAGACGCGAGUUGCAGCAACUUCUUUUUUAACCCUUUGUGAGGAUUGUGAUUGAUUCUUCAUCUAAACGGAAUCCCGGUCGGCAUCCCAGUGAGAGUGGAAAUAUUACAGCGCGUGUUUGUUUUAUUAUGGUAUAUUAUGGUUAGUUUGCAUUUUUUAGCACUUAGCAACAAUGCUAAUUCUAUAGCAGGGGUCACCAACAUUUUUGAAACCAAGAGCUACUUCUUGGGUAGUGAUUAAUGCGAAGGGCUACCAGUUUGAUACACACUUAAAUAAAUUGCCAGAAAUAGCUAAUUUGCUCAAUUUACCUAUAACUCUAUGUUAUUAUUAAUUAUUAAUGAUAUUCACACUUAAUUGAACGGUUUUAAAGAGGAGAAAACACGAAAAAAAUGACAAUUACAUUUUGAAACAUAGUUUAUCUUCAAUUUCGACUCUUUAAAAUUCAAAAUUCAACCGAAAAAAAGAAGAGAAAAACUAGCUAAUUCGAAUCUUUUUGAAAAAAUUAUAAAACUAAUUUAUGGAACAUCAUUAGUAAUUUUUCCUGAUUAAGAUUAAUUUUAGAAUUUUGAUGACAUGUUUUAAAUAGGUUAAAAUCCAAUCUGCACUUUGUUAGAAUAUAUA